rnacentral:rRNA from 1 species
AAACGAUGCCGAUGUCGUGGUGCCGAAUAAUGGCGACGCGAAAGAGAAAUCGAGUAGGGCCCUGGGGAGAGUACACGCGCAAGCGAGAAAUUUAAAGGAAAUUGACGGAAGAACACCACAAGGAGUGGAGUGUGCGGCUUAAUUUGACUCAACGCGGGACAACUUACCGGGCCCGACGACCGUAAGAGUGUGACACACGAUAGGUCGAAGAGUGGUGCAUGGCCGUUAACGACGAGUGGAGUGAUCUUUGGGUUAAGUCCGUAAAUUAGUGAGACCUCAGCCGUAAGGGACAGGUGCGCAAAGCACAGGAAGGAUGGGUCAAGGACAGGUCAGUGAUGCCCUUAGAUGGUCCGGGCUGCACGCGCACUACAGUGGUCGCCGAAAUUAGCUGAUAAUUUUAAAGGCGAUCGAGAGGGAAUGAGCUUUGUAAGAGGCUCAGGAACGAGGAAUUGCUAGUAAUCGCGGACGCAUUAAGACGCGAUGAAUACGUCCCUGUUCUUUGUACACACCGCCCGUCGUUAUCGAAGAUGAAGACAGGCGCGAACGAUCUACCAGAAAGUGAGCGCAGGUCUUUAGAUCUGAUACAAGUCGUAACAAGGUAGCUGUAGGUGAACCUGUAGCUGG